AUUGAACGCUGGCGGCAUGCUUUACACAUGCAAGUCGAACGGCAGCGCGGGCUUCGGCCUGGCGGCGAGUGGCGAACGGGUGAGUAAUGCAUCGGAACGUGCCCAGUAGUGGGGGAUAGCCCGGCGAAAGCCGGAUUAAUACCGCAUACGACCUGAGGGUGAAAGCGGGGGACCGAAAGGCCUCGCGCUAUUGGAGCGGCCGAUGUCGGAUUAGCUAGUUGGGGGGGUAAAGGCUUACCAAGGCGACGAUCCGUAGCUGGUCUGAGAGGACGACCAGCCACACUGGGACUGAGACACGGCCCAGACUCCUACGGGAGGCAGCAGUGGGGAAUUUUGGACAAAGGGGGCAACCCUGAUCCAGCCAUGCCGCGUGCGGGAAGAAGGCCUUCGGGUUGUAAACCGCUUUUGUUCGGGAAGAAAUCCUCUGGGCUAAUACCCCGGGGGGAUGACGGUACCGGAAGAAUAAGCACCGGCUAACUACGUG
rnacentral:rRNA from 1 species